CAUGGGUGUAAGUGCAGAGAUGCACUGAGCUGAAUGUCACUAAUAGGUCGAGGGCUUAUCC
rnacentral:rRNA from 1 species